rnacentral:rRNA from 1 species
CCCUUAGACGUUCUGGGCCGCACGCGCGCUACACUGACGAAUGCAACGAGCUUAUAACCUUGUCCGAAAGGUCUGGGUAAUCUCCAAAUUUCGUCGUGAUGGGGAUAGAUUAUUGCAAUUAUUAAUCUUCAACGAGGAAUGCCUAGUAAGCGCAAGUCAUCAGCUUGCGUUGAUUACGUCCCUGCCCUUUGUACACACCGCCCGUCGCUCCUACCGAUUGAAUGGUCCGGUGAAGCGUUCGGACCGUGGCCUUUGGACGGUUCGCCGUCUGUUGGCUGCGGGAAGUUCGUUAAACCUUAUCAUUUAGAGGAAGGAGAAGUCGUAACA